GCCGGAGCCGCCCGCGCGGGCGCCGAGAGGAGAGGCGAGGCGCGGCGAGGCGGGGAGCGCGAGCGGCGGCGGCCCCUGCCACGUCUGGCCGGCAGCGGCGGCGGGAGGAGGUGAGCGGCGCCGGCGCCGCGGGCAGGUGGGCAGGCAGCGGCCGGGCGGGCGCGCGGGGCCCCUGCUGCGGGCCCCGGGCCGGGGAGGUGGCGCCGGGACAGCGCGGUUCCCGCCACGCCGGCUCCGCCUCCGCGCGGGCUGACGGCCGAGGCCCGGGCGCCGAGCGGGUCCCGAGCGCAACUCGUGCGGCGGGCGCCGGGGGGACGCGAGCCGGGCCGCCCGUCGCGGCGCCGGACGCCGAUUGCCCGCCGCUGCGGGGCCCCGGCCGCGGCCGGGAAAAGUUGGGGCGGACCGCGAGCCCGCGUGGGCCGGGCGGGAAGUGCGCGUGCCGGGCGGACUCCGGGGGCCGGAGGGACGCGCCUGGAGUGAUGCUCAGUUGGAUGGGUCUUGGUGCAGCCUCACUCAGAGAACAUCCCCAGGAUCCCUCACUGCCAUAGUGCUAUAGAUUUCCUUGUCUGACUGAUGCUGGGAUCCUUGUGCCACCACACUUCUGUCAUCCUUUCCAUUCUGGCUUGAGACCUGGUGAGCUGAUUCCUGUUGCAUCUGGCAUUUCUGAACUUCCCAGCUUUCUUUUCAAAAGAAGGGUCUCUCAUUGGCCCCUGGGCCUGGAUGAACCCUCCAGCUGAGGCGAGGACUAAGAAGACCUGGACCUAAGGAGGCUCCCAUCGCUCAGCUAACUGGCACCCCCCCUUCUUCUGGAGAACUGCUGCUCUUGGGGCCUGCCAGGAAUAACUCAAGUCACCUUUACUGGAAGUCACUUUGCUGAAACUAUUGAAAGAGCCAUUCUUGAAGUUGAAGAAAAGAUCUCUCUACAGGAGAUUCUGCGCCUUGACCAGAGGAGUGUGGCCCUUCCUUCAAAAUCCUCUGUGGACACGCCCUCCUAGCGUCCCUGGGGAAAGAUGCGGCAGCUCAAGGGGAAGCCCAAGAAGGAGACGUCCAAGGACAAGAAGGAGCGGAAGCAGGCCAUGCAGGAGGCCCGGCAGCAGAUCACCACGGUGGUGCUGCCCACGCUGGCCGUCGUCGUGCUCCUGAUCGUGGUGUUCGUGUACGUGGCCACGCGCCCCACCGUCACCGAGUGAGCCCUGUGGCUGGGUGGACUCCCCCAGCAGGGAGCGGAGGUGCGGGAGGGGGCAAGCAAGAGAGAAAUGGCUUUCCUAUUCGGAGAUGUGCCUGAUGCUGAGCUCUGAGCAGAGCACCCUGUCUUCUCUGAUCUCUGACUUGAUUAAAGUUUCUCCACUUUUCUUGGGAGGGAAUAGGGAACGUUUUAUCAGUGAACAUGCCAUACACUUUAUGGUCCACUUCAUGUGCCUUUCAGACUUCAAAGCAGUGUGUGUGUUUCUUUUUUUCUUCUGAAAUCGAUGUGUAGCUCCACCUGGUGAGAGGAGGCAUCUCUGGGUCCUGAAUCGGUUGGAAUCAGCGCUCACCCCAUUCCCAUUGUUUUGAACAUGACUCUUGCCUACAUGUGUUCACAAUUUCCAAAGGGACUGUGUUUCUUCUCUGUGCUUAAUGUGAUUUGAAAUAUGUCAACUCAAAAGUGAAAUAUUUAUUUUUUGAAUAAAGGAGAUAAUAGCCUUAAACUGGAUGUUUAUCUUGCUUUGCCAGGAGGCGGCCUUGUUUUCU
rnacentral:lncRNA from 1 species